rnacentral:tRNA from 1 species
GCGCGUCUAGCUCAGUCGUAGAGCGCGUGCCUAGCAUGCACAAGGCCCUGGGUUCAAUCCCAGUACCUUCU